ACUCCUACGGGAGGCAGCAGUGGGGAAUUUUGGACAAUGGGCGAAAGCCUGAUCCAGCAAUGCCGCGUGUGUGAAGAAGGCCUUCGGGUUGUAAAGCACUUUUGUCCGGAAAGAAAUCCUUGGCUCUAAUACAGUCGGGGGAUGACGGUACCGGAAGAAUAAGCACCGGCUAACUACGUGCCAGCAGCCGCGGUAAUACGUAGGGUGCGAGCGUUAAUCGGAAUUACUGGGCGUAAAGCGUGCGCAGGCGGUUUGCUAAGACCGAUGUGAAAUCCCCGGGCUCAACCUGGGAACUGCGUUGGUGAGUGGCAGGCUAGAGUAUGGCAGAGGGGGGUAGAAUUCCACGUGUAGCAGUGAAAUGCGUAGAGAUGUAGAGGAAUACCGAUGGCGAAGGCAGCCCCCUGGGCCAAUACUGACGCUCAUGCACGAAAGCGUGGGGAGCAAACAGGAUUAGAAACCCCAGUAGUCC
rnacentral:rRNA from 1 species